rnacentral:lncRNA from 1 species
GCCGAGGACCCGGACCUGCGGCCGCGAUCCUGGAGCACGGAGCGGGCUCAGCCUAGGCCUGGGGUGCGGAGAAAGGAGCAGAUCCAAAAUCUUCUGGCCUGAGAAGUGGGGGAGAGGCAAGGACGGAGAGAGGCAGGGAGAGACAGAGGAAGGCGGCGCCGCUGCCCGCCAGCCGGAGGGAAAGUGAGUUCCGAGUUCUGGACCCUCGGGGGCAGUGAGGACAGGGCUGGCUGCGGGUUGGGGGCCUCGGGCGGCUCAGCUGAAGGCCAAGGCACCAGAGGAAGGAAGCUGAAGUCGAAUCCUUGAUCCUUUCCCUGCAGGGUAGCACUGGGGGAGAGAGGGAGGGAGAGAAAGAGAGAGAGAGAGAAUAUAGCCUAGGGGUGUCUGUGAAGGGCUCCCCUCGUUUUUCCUGGCCCUGAUGGCCUGUUUUCUCCUGCUCCUCUCCACAUAGCCCCCUUUCGGCCCAAUCGUUGCUGUUUAAAUGGGAACUCUAAUGGCGAGGGAAGGGAGGAAUGCUCAGAAAGCAAUUCUGGGGACUUCUGGUUCAAUCUGAUACUCCACAAAGCCCCAGUUUUGUCACCUCUGUCCUUCUCAGCUGGAAACCAGCCUCUCGGAUCAGUGCGCUCCCAGUUUCCCUCCUGGCUGAGGUGCCUUAGGGCUACUAGGGACCUGAAGUGGGUCCUGACCCCCAGUGACGAGAGAACCACGGAGACCACAGAGAGAAAAGCAGCAAAAUGGGAGAGACUUUUAAAUCGUGAGCAGAAGGCGACUUCCCCGCUGGGGCAGGAGAGUGCAGGCGGCCACACUCGCCCCACAUGGCGCGUCCACACUGUGGAAGCUUUCGGAUCAAGCUUCAGCACACAGGCGAGUCAGGUUUCCCGGCCCCCCUGGAAAUCGGGGCGAAGCGUAGAGGCAGAUGGUGGGGCCUGGAGACUGGAACAGACCCACAAACCAUUCUUGCUGCAGGCAAAGGGUCUUUUUUUCCUGGGUGACCAGAAUCUUCCUGCUAUGUGUCACCUGAAUUUUUUCACCCCCCGUCCCCCUCUUCUCCCUAGUGUUCUCUCUCUCUCUCUCUCUCUCUCCCCCUUCUCCGUUUCCUUUUUGGAUUGAUGGGCUGUUCCCUUUUGCAUUUUCGAACCAGGCGUCUGAUUACAAGUAAAGAGCCGCUGAAGUUCAUCUCAUAAAAAUGCCGCGAGCUCCUUUGAUCUGCGCGGACUGGGUCCGAGCCUAAGUAGGCGCUAAAGCCAGGGAAUGGCGGCUCGGGCCAACUGGCCUCCACACGGCGGCGGGGAGACCAGAGAUCCGGUGGCCCAACAGGGCGAUCACGCCCAGAAAAGACGUUUCUGUGCGGCUGCAACUGGGUCUGGACACCAAAGUCCAAUAGCAGCGGCUCCAAUUCAGACUGCUUUAAGACAUUUCCUUCAUUUUAGAGCAUUUGGUGAGGGGCCCAGUGAAACUGGCUCAUAAAAUGGGACUUUUAUGGGGAGAAAUGGGGUCGUGUUGCUAGCCUCCUGGGACAAUCCCUCAGUGGAGGAAGGUGGGUGGGGCUGCGGGGGCGGAGAAGCUGCCCUUCUCCCUCCCCCUGUCACUUCCAGGGGCCGAGGAACCUCGGAGCAGCGUCCACCCGCUUGGGUGACCUGACUUGGGUCCUUGGGCUUGGGGUGACGGCCAGAGCUGAGGAGAGGCGGAGGCCGAGAACCAGCAGUCUGACCCUCCGACCCAGUUCUUUGGCUGGGGGUGGGAUGUGUCCCGGGUGCGGGGUAAACCGCUGGCCUGAACGUCCCCAAGCACACUAGAGGGAUUAUUAAAUGCCUCGGAUUGCUCUAAGACGUGCAAGAAGGCACCAGCAAUUUCUAGUGAGGGCUCAUCCUUGCGGGCCAAGCCUUUGAGCGCCGAGGUUGUCCACACGCCCACUGCUCAUCUUACUGACUCCACACGGGACUGAACUUAGAGUCCAAGCCCACCGGAGCUCUAAGAGUUCUUCUUUCUCCUGUCUGGCUUUCCCUCCCGGUGCACGGUCUGUGGGAUGGGCCCCUUUCCCCGGUUACCCCAAUCUGCUCUCUAGAAUCGGGAGGUGGACAAGCUGCAAGGCCGGCCAGCGCUGCGUGUGGGGGCUCCCAUGCGGGGAUUCAGAAUUCAGGAGAUACUGCCCCCUUCUGAAGCCACCUCUGGUGUCCACGUGUGGCAGGGAGCGUCGCUCGAGUCUGUUUUGGUCCUGGACAGAGUACCACAUCAGCGGCCGGGACCGCGGCUGCCUGGUAGCGGCCAGGCUGGCGGGUGGGCGGGAGGUGCUGACCGAGGCCACCAAGAACCAGUGAGCUAGGCUGGAUGGCCCUGCCCUGGGGAGUUUCAGGUGAAAGAUGGGACUCCAGGAUUGUGGAAGGGCCACAGGCACUCAUGAGAUGGGGGAGGGGAAGCCACCUCCUGCCAGGGAGCGGGGCUUGCCAGGGCUCUUAGGAACCGAUUUGGGACCACAGCUGAGUCUCAUGUUGGGGGGAUGCACUGAUGCCCUGGGGCGGAGCCAGGGGCAAGGGCCACAAUCUAUGCUUUGGAGUGGUCCUGGACCGGGUUGGGCAGGGAAGUGGCCAGCCCACUCUGUGGGUAUUUUUGCCCAUCAAUGCCUUGCUGACCUCAGUGUCCAGAGCCUUCUUUCCCUGACCCCAGCAGCAACCACCGGUUGCUGGGAUUUUUAAAAAGUUGUUGAAAAAUUAAAAGUCAGACCAAAACUAGGAAAAAAAAAAAAAAGAACUUCAUGCCUUUCUUUUAGGGGGAAGAAUAUUAAUUCUCAGAAGCCUCUGUUAGGAGACCCUAGAGUUUCCUGGACAUCAACUUCUUUGACAUUGUUUCUUGCCUUCUUUUUUGUUUCAAGGAAAUAAAGCCGCCAGUGGCUCCUUGCA